AUGAUUCAUAUUGCUUCGUGUCAUAUAUCUCCAUGUGUUGCCUCUCUCAUGCUAGAUUAUUUGCCAUGUAUUGAGUGCAACAAUUAUUCUCGUCUUGCUCAUAAGAUUUCCCCCAUAGCAUUCUCACAUAUACUUGGAGAUUUUGACGUAUUUCUUGUGAAGCAUGCUUGUCUUACCUCUUUGCACCAAAUACCUAGUGCCAUGAAUAUAGCCAUUCUUGCAUCAUAUUAUUCAUGCGCUUGUGCUUCUAAUGGUUAUGUGCAAGAUAAGAGAACCGUCAUGAUGGAUGAUGUGUUUAUCUACCAUGCGCAUACGCUCUUUGUUUUGUUGUGUGCAUGUGUAGGAUACUUGGACUUCGUGUCGACUUUCACUUCAUGUGAGUUGACCAUUCGAGCUCUUGAGAGCGAGCCUCAUACAUUCGACCAUGACUCGCUUCUACUCCACAUUUCCUACCACUUCGGCAUUGUGAAGAACGCACAAGGACAUGCCUUCGAGGUGAUAUCCUUAUAUUUCGAGAACAUCCAAACUAUGAGCAUGCAUAUUGUGGAUCAUACUACUUGUGUUGCUUCUACCAUGAGACUUCAUUUGUUCACAUAUGCCAUGUCCCAUUGCUUGUCACAUGAUUGA
rnacentral:rRNA from 1 species